CUCCGCCGGCGACCGGCGCACGGGUGAGUAACACGUAUGCAACCUGGCCGUGACAGAUGGAUAACCGGGAGAAAUCCCGCCUAAUACAACAUAAUGCCGGGAGGGGACAUCCCCUGCCGGCCAAAGGGGGCGACCCCGGUCACGGAUGGGCAUGCGGCGCAUUAGGUAGUUGGUGGGGCAACGGCCCACCAAGCCGACGAUGCGUAGGGGUUCUGAGAGGAAGGUCCCCCACAUUGGAACUGAGACACGGUCCAAACUCCUACGGGAGGCAGCAG
rnacentral:rRNA from 1 species